rnacentral:rRNA from 1 species
CGAUAGUGAACCAGUACUGUGAAGGAAAGGCGAAAAGAACCCCGGUGAGGGGAGUGAAAUAGAACCUGAAACCUUGUACGUACAAGCAGUGGGAGCCCCAUCACUUAAUCCGAUUGGAAGGUGAUGAAAAGCAACCGCACUUAAACAAUGGUAAGAGGAGCGAAGCGAGUCAAACCACCCAAAAAAAGAAGCAGUGGGAUUAAGUGAUGGGGUGACUGCGUACCUUUUGUAUAAUGGGUCAGCGACUUAUAUUUUGUAGCGAGGUUAACCGAAUAGGGGAGCCGAAGGGAAACCGAGUCUUAACUGGGCGAAUAGUUGCAAGGUAUAGACCCGAAACCCGGUGAUCUAGCCAUGGGCAGGUUGAAGGUUGGGUAACACUAACUGGAGGACCGAACCGACUAAUGUUGAAAAAUUAGCGGAUGACUUGUGGCUGGGGGUGAAAGGCCAAUCAAACCGGGAGAUAGCUGGUUCUCCCCGAAAUCUAUUUAGGUAGAGCCUUGAGGUGACACCUUUGGGGGUAGAGCACUGUUUCGGCUAGGGGGCCAUCCCGGCUUACCAACCCGAUGCAAACUACGAAUACCAAAGAGUGAUACUCAGGAGACACACGGCGGGUGCUAACGUCCGUCGUGGAGAGGGAAACAACCCAGACCGCCAGCUAAGGUCCCAAAGUCUAUAUUAAGUGGGAAACGAAGUGGGAAGGCUUAGACAGCUAGGAUGUUGGCUUAGAAGCAGCCAUCAUUUAAAGAAAGCGUAAUAGCUCACUAGUCGAGUCGGCCUGCGCGGAAGAUGUAACGGGGCUGAAAUAUAGCACCGAAGCUGCGGCAUCAGGCGUAUCACUAAUACGCCUUACGAUUAACAAGCUAGAAUGGCACGAAGCGUCAUGAAAGGUUGUUCAAGCAACCCGAACGUUGAGUCGGCACAUUUUUGAAGUAAGGAUUAUUAGUGAUACGCCUGUUGGGUAGGGGAGCGUUGUGUAAGCGGAAGAAGGUUCAUCGAGAGGUGGGCUGGACGUAUCACAAGUGCGAAUGCUGACAUAAGUAACGAUAAAACGGGUGAAAAACCCGUUCGCCGGAAGACCAAGGGUUCCUGUCCAACGUUAAUCGGGGCAGGGUGAGUCGGCUCCUAAGGCGAGGCUGAAAAGCGUAGUCGAUGGGAAACAGGUUAAUAUUCCUGUACUUGGUAAAGCUGCGAUGUGGGGACGGAGUAGGUUAGGUUAUCGCACUGUUGGAUAUGUGCGUUUAAGUUGGUAGGUGGGAAGUUUAGGCAAAUCCGGACUUCCUUAACACAGAGAGAUGAUGACGAGGCUCUACGGAGCUGAAGUAACUGAUACCACACUUCCAGGAAAAGCCACUAAGCGAAAGGCUUUACUAAACCGUACUGAAAACCGACACAGGUGGUCAGGUAGAGAAUACUCAGGCGCUUGAGAGAACUCGGGUGAAGGAACUAGGCAAAAUAGCACCGUAACUUCGGGAGAAGGUGCGCUUACAGUAAUUGUAGUCCCUUACGGAUGAAGGUGAAGUAAGUCGAAGUGACCCGCUGGCUGCAACUGUUUAUUAAAAACACAGCACUCUGCAAACACGAAAGUGGACGUAUAGGGUGUGAUGCCUGCCCGGUGCUGGAAGGUUAAUUGAUGGUGUAAUCGAAAGAGAAGCACCUGAUCGAAGCCCCAGUAAACGGCGGCCGUAACUAUAACGGUCCUAAGGUAGCGAAAUUCCUUGUCGGGUAAGUUCCGACCUGCACGAAUGGCAUAAUGAUGGCCAGGCUGUCUCCACCCGAGACUCAGUGAAAUUGAAAUCGCCGUGAAGAUGCGGUGUACCCGCGGCUAGACGGAAAGACCCCGUGAACCUUUACUAUAGCUUGACACUGAACAUUGAAUUUUGAUGUGUAGGAUAGGUGGGAGCCUUUGAAGCAGUGACGCCAGUCAUUGUGGAGGCGAGCUUGAAAUACCACCCUUUAACGUUUGAUGUUCUAACGAAGAUGACGAAACGUGGUCUCGGACAGUGUCUGGUGGGUAGUUUGACUGGGGCGGUCUCCUCCCAAAGCGUAACGGAGGAGCACGAAGGUUUGCUAAUCACGGU